AUUGAACGCUGGCGGCAGGCCUAACACAUGCAAGUCGAGCGAGCGGCGGACGGGUGAGUAAUGUCUGGGGAUCUGCCUGAUAGAGGGGGAUAACUACUGGAAACGGUGGCUAAUACCGCCUACUAUCGGAUGAACCCAUAUGGGAUUAGCUAGUAGGUGGGGUAAAGGCUCACCUAGGCGACGAUCCCUAGCUGGUCUGAGAGGAUGACCGGCCACACUGGGGCUGAGACACGGUCCAGAAUCCUACGGGAGGCAGCAGUGGGGAAUAUUGCACAAUGGGCGCAAGCCUGAUGCAGCCAUGCCGCGGGUAUGAAGAAGGCCUUCGGGUUGUAAAGUACUUUCAGCGGGGAGGCGUUACCCGCAGAAGAAGCACCGGCUAACUCCGUGCCAGCAGCCGCGGUAAUUC
rnacentral:rRNA from 1 species